UUCCUGGAGGACUAGUGGUUAGGCCUUGGCGCUCUCACCUCUGUGGCCCGGGUUCAAUUCCCAGCCAGGGAA
rnacentral:tRNA from 1 species